CUACGGGAGGCAGCAGUGGGGAAUUUUCCGCAAUGGGCGAAAGCCUGACGGAGCAAUACCGCGUGAGGGAAGACGGCCUAUGGGUUGUAAACCUCUUUUUUCAGGGAGGAAUUUUGACGUGUACCUGAAGAAUAAGCAUCGGCUAACUCCGUGCCAGCAGCCGCGGUAAGACGGAGGAUGCAAGUGUUAUCCGGAAUCACUGGGCGUAAAGCGUCUGUUGGUGGUUUAAUAAGUCAACUGUUAAAUCUUGAGGCUCAACUUCAAAAUCGCAGUCGAAACUAUUAGACUAGAGUAUAGUAGAGGUAAAGGGAAUUUCCAGUGGAGCGGUGAAAUGCGUAGAUAUUGGAAAGAACACCGAUGGCGAAAGCACUUUACUGGGCUAUUACUAACACUCAGAGACGAAAGCUAGGGUAGCAAAUGGGAUUAGAUACCCCAGUAGUCCUAGCCGUAAACAAUGGAUACUAGAUGUUGAACAGAUCGACCUGUGCAGUAUCAAAGCUAACGCGUUAAGUAUCCCGCCUGGGAAGUAUGCUCGCAAGAGUGAAACUCAAAG
rnacentral:rRNA from 1 species